AUACGUAGGUGACAAGCGUUAUCCGGAUUUACUGGGCGUAAAGGGCGUGUAGGCGGUCUUGCAAGUCAGAAGUGAAAUUCCUGAGCUCAACUCGGGCGCUGCUUCUGAAACUGCAGGACUUGAGUGCUGGAGGGGAUAGCGGAAUUCCUAGUGGAGCGGUAAAAUGCGCAGAUAUUAGGAAGAACACCGGUGGCGAAGGCGGAUAUCUGGACAGUAACUGACGCUGAGGCGCGAAAGCGUGGGGAGCAAACAGGAUUAGAUACCCUGUUAGUCCACGCCGUAAACGAUGAAUACUAGGUGUAGGGGGUAUCGACUCCCUCUGUGCCGCAGUUAACACAAUAAGUAUUCCGCCUGGGGAGUACGGCCGCAAGGUUGAAACUCAAAGGAAUUGACGGGG
rnacentral:rRNA from 1 species